AUGUGGCCAAUUCGUUUGCCACAACCGGCCUUUUCAAUGCUUGAACCAAGUCUGAUUUUUGCUAUUACCGUGGUCCUUUUGCUACAUCCUUUGUUCAUGGUUGCCAUGGUGCUCCAAGCACGGCGGCGAGCACAAAAAGAGUGCGGCCGGCGAGCUGCAACCGUUAGUCAUUUUUGCUGGAACCGGUCAGUGGUCACCGCGGUGAGCACGACAGUCACCACGGUGAGUUGCGAUGGUCACCACGGCAAGCUGCGACGGAAAUUGUCUGCGGCCAUCUGUGACGGUAACCACACCGAGCUGGAACCGCAGUCCAAAAUAGCUGGGACAAUAGUCGUGUUUUGCUGCAACCAUGGGAUCGGUGUUUUUGGUCUUUAG
rnacentral:rRNA from 1 species